ACCGAUGUCGGCGGUCACAGUUGACUCAAUUAUUCGAUGCUAAUUUGAGAGGUCGACUUUAACUGACGGUUUUAAUGCUUCACGGUUCUGUCACCGGCAACACUACCUCCCCACCCAAAUCGAUCGAAAAUCGAGGGGAAGGGUGAAAUUUCAUUUUUAGCCUAUUUAAUCCAUUUUUGUCUUCUGUCUUUUUCCCGAUUGUUGUAUACACUUAUCAAAUGAACCCCCUUUUUUCCCUUUGAAACACUAAAAACCUUCUUGGCUUUUUCCUCGGUCCUCAUCAAUUGCCGUCGUCCACCCCUUGUUACCGUUGCGGUCCUCCUCACCAGUCGUCGAUCGUCUCUUGCAGUUGCUGUCAUCUACUCAUCUUCCUUUUGUUCAAGCCUCAAGAGAACUUGUAUUCUCGCUGCAGCAAGAAACUUUCUGACUUGCCAAUGUAGUCAAGUCCAUCCACCCUCCAACCGAUCGAAAUCGACCGAAACCAAAGUCAGUUUCAAUUGAUCGAUUUUCCUUUACAACCGAUCAAUCUCGGUUGAUUGUAAGGAACUUCGAUUUCUGUUAGUUUUAGUUUCUAUCGAAACCAAAACCGAUCGAUGCUCACCUCUAAAUGUAGCGUAUCAGACCCCUCUUGCUUGCAGGGCCAGCACUCUUACCGUUUAAGCUAUAUCCCCUCAACAUAGAAGGUAAUCAAGACUGGAUUUCUCUGUUAUUUGCUUAUGGAUAAUAGAUACCAAUUUGGAGCAAGUUCUAAAUCAGCCUUUAGAAGCUUAAGACACAAAGAACUUAGUCAUGCACUGUUUAAAUCACCCAAUUAUGAAUUGAUCAUUAUAAUGCUUUGAUCCCAGUAAUCCGCCCAUUAUUCUGCCAUUCCAAAAAAAAAAAAAUCUACCCAUUGUCCUUGAGGUUUGUUGAAGUUUAUGAUUCUAGUAGCUGAAGGUUCAAAUAAAGGCACAAAUCAACAGCAUUGAAGGAGAAGACUAAAGGGCGAAGACUAAAGGGCGUUAUACGGCAUCGUUUUGCUUCUUUUCCUUUCAUGUUAAAACGCAACCUGUAGUGUCAUUUUUUUUUGUUAUGUUUUUUAGUUGCUUAAGUCUUACAACUUAGCUUAUUGUCAUUUCAUGAGUCUGUUUGUUAAGCCAAUAAAGGCCAUGUGUUCAUAACUUUUGUUUCUUCUUUAGCUGUUAAGAACCGUUGCCGGCAUAAAAUUCAAUGCUUUCAAUAUUGUGCUCAGCUGUUUUUCUCAUGUUUUCCUCUUGUUAUAGAUCCGAGCUUGGGGGAAGAAAUUGUAAUCUCGAGGCAAGAAUUAGUAUAUAUGCAAAAGAUGAAAUAGGAAUC